AAUCAACGCUGGCGGCGUGCCUCAGACAUGCAAGUCGAACGCUGAUUGUGGGGUAGCAAUAUUCUGCAGUCGGAGUGGCGAAAGGGUGCGUAACACGUGGGUCAUUUGCCGUGAAGUUGGGGACGAACUCGCUGAAAGGCGAGCUAAUACCGAAUGUGGCUGUAAAGCUAAAGUUGGGGACCGGCAAGGCCUGACGCUUCACGAUAAGCCCGCGGCCUAUCAGCUAGUUGGUGAGGUAACGGCUCACCAAGGCUAAGACGGGUAGCUGGUCUGAGAGGACGACCAGCCUCACUGGAACUGAGACACGGUCCAGACACCUACGGGUGGCAGCAGUCGAG
rnacentral:rRNA from 1 species